CCUUUUAUCAGUUUGAUCAUAAAAGUCCAGAAAUUGGAACUAAACGAAAAAUUAGCUUACUAUGAAGACCCAAGUAUACAUGAAUCCCAUUUAGAUACACUGCAAAAAUGUGAUCUAACUUUAUGUGAAAGUGUAAAAGAGAUAUAACCGGAAGAAACACAACCGGAAGAAACUACCGGAAGAAACACAACCAAUGAUCAAUGAAGCGUGGGUAAACGCUUCAACUAUGUAACUACGAUUUUCUUACGGUAGCCAAAUGCCUCGUCAUCUAAUUAGUGACGCGCAUGAAUGGAUGAACAAGAUUUCCACUGUCCCUACCUACUAUCUAGCGAAACCACAGUCAAGGGAACAGGCUUGGUGGAAUCAGAGGGGAAAGAAGACCCUGUUGAGCUUGACUCUAGUCUGCAACUGUGAAGAGACAUGAGAGGUGUAGGAUAAGUGGGAGGCCCCCGGCCUCGCAAUGGGGCGCCGCCAGCAAAAUACCACUAUUUUUAUCGUUUUUUAACUAACCCGGAGAGGCGGGGGGUCAAGCCCCUAAGGGCUCUCGCUUCUGGCUCCAAGCGCCUGGCACGCGACCCGCUCCGAGGACAGUGGCAGGUGGGGAGUUUGACUGGGGUGGUACACCUGUCAAACGGUAACACGGGUGUCCUAAGGCAAGCUCAGGGAGGACAGCUCGCUUGAUCUUGAUUUUCAGCAUGAAUAGAGACCAUGAAAGCGGGGCCUCACGAUUCUUCUGAGUUUUUGGGUUUCAAGCAGGAGGUGUCAGAAAAGCUACCUCAGGGAUAACUGGCUUGUGGCGGCCAAGCGUUCAUAGUGAUGUCGCUUUUUGAUACUUCGAUGUCGGCUCUUCCUAUUAUUGUGAAGCAGAAUUCACCAAGUGUUGGAUUGUUCACCUACUAAUAGGGAACAUUUUGAAGCCUCUGUCUUUGAGAGACUGUCCU
rnacentral:rRNA from 1 species